UACAGAGGGGGCAAGCGUUGUUCGGAAUCAUUGGGCGUAAAGCGCGUGUAGGCGGCCAGAAAAGUCCGCUGUGAAAACUCGAGGCUCAACUUCGAGCUGUCGGUGGAAACUUUCUGGCUAGAGUCCGGAAGAGGAGAAUGGAAUUCCUGGUGUAGCGGUGAAAUGCGCAGAUAUCAGGAAGAACACCCGUGGCGAAGGCGGUUCUCUGGGACGGUACUGACGCUGAGACGCGAAAGCGUGGGGAGCGAACAGG
rnacentral:rRNA from 1 species